rnacentral:rRNA from 1 species
GGGGAAUAUUGCACAAUGGGCGAAAGCCUGAUGCAGCAACGCCGCGUGAGUGAUGAAGGUCUUCGGAUUGUAAAGCUCUGUCUUUUGGGACGAUAAUGACGGUACCAAAGGAGGAAGCCACGGCUAACUACGUGCCAGCAGCCGCGGUAAUACGUAGGUGGCAAGCGUUGUCCGGAUUUACUGGGCGUAAAGGGUGCGUAGGUGGAUAUUUAAGUCAGAUGUGAAACCCCUGGGCUCAACUCAGGGACUGCAUUUGAAACUGGAUAUCUUGAGUGCGGGAGAGGUAAGUGGAAUUCCUAGUGUAGCGGUGAAAUGCGUAGAGAUUAGGAAGAACACCAGUGGCGAAGGCGACUUACUGGACCGUAACUGACACUGAGGCACGAAAGCGUGGGUAGCAAAC